CCUGUGUCUGGUUCUCUCUUUUGAUGAUUCCCUUCCCACUCCAGGCCUCCAUUUAUUUCCUUCAAUAUAGCCAGACGUUAUUCUAACCCUGGGGUGGGGGUUGGGGAGAGUAAACGGGAUCCCCGGCUCUCAUUUUUGGUGCAUGUGGAUGUUUGGUAUCAUGGGGAUACAGUCAGGAGCAAGCGUUGAUUCAGAGGUGAGGAGGAUGAGGUUUGGAGACAGGAGCUAGUUUCAGACACAGAGCGUUAUCAUCAGACGGGCAGUAGGGGUCUGAGGGAGGCGGGCAGAGGGUCGAGGCCUAAAACCAGGCUAAGAACUUGGCUUUUUAUCCGGAGAAAGGCAGAAAUAUGAGGGACUUUUGUUUAUAAUAUUCUUAUAGUUAAUAUUGUUAAAUGGCAUGAACUAAUUCAGGUUUGGGGGUGGAGUGCUUGCUUAGCAUAUGGAGUCAUGAUUUCUACCCGCAGCACCCAAUAAACAGGACCUGGUGGUACAUGGCUAUCAUCCAAGCACUGGGCGGGGGGUGGGUAGAGACAGGAAGAUCAGAAGUUCAAGGCCAUCUUGGCUACAUAGCAAGUUUGAGGGUAGCUCAUGCUGUAGGAGGAUCCUGACUCAAACAACAGCAAAUCUAACUCACUCUAAUAUAAAAAUCAAACGAGGGCCAGGAGGGUUUCUUCUAAUAACUCUGUGUGUGUGUGUGUGUGUGUGUGUGUGUGUGUGUGUGUGUGUGUAUAGAGUAUGUGUGUUGUGUGUGUGGUGUCUGUGUGUCUGUGUCUUUGUGUGUGUGUGUGAGAGUGUGUGUAUGUGUGUGUAGAGUAUGUGUGUUGUGUGUUUAUGUGUGUUGUGUGUGUGUGUGUAUGUGUGUGUAGAGUAUGUGUGUUGUGUGUGUGUGUGUAUGUGUGCUGUGUGUGUGUGUGUGUGUGUAGAGUAUGUGUGUUGUGUGUAUGUGUGUGGUGUGUGUGUCUGUG
ensembl:lncRNA